GUUUGACACUAAGAUAAAAUCUGGGUUUAUUUGGUCUGUGAACUAUAUUUUAAAUGAUAGUUAUCAAACCACUCAAUCAUCUUCUAAAGGUCAAACAGCAUUAGGGAAUGACGAGUUGACCAAUCAGAACUCCAGGAAUUUUUAAAUUCAGUCAUCUCAUCUAUGAUUAAUUGCUUCCUUCUGCAAAGUAUGUCAUGUAAACAAUUUCUAAUAAUGAAUAUUCAAAAAUAUGGCUGAUAAGAAGUUUUAUUUCUCCAGCCCUUUUGCCUUCAUCUAUAAAAAGCAGCUCCUAUGAUGAUAGCUAUGCUUCAAGAUCCCAGAAAGCAACUUGCUUGUCCUUAUUUUACAUUUAUAAUAAGAGAACAGAUUUAUAAUAAGAGAAUAGACAUUUGGAGUAGGCAAAAUAAGUAGAGUUAGAGGCAUCUCUGAUCUACUGAUGACAGCUCAAUGUGAAGGUAGUGCCACUCACCUUACUACUGCACUAGCAUCAGAAAUAAAUCAAGUUCCUGAUUUUGAAAGCUCUCUCUCUCUCCCCCCAACAUGAGUGUAGUAAUUUCUUUUUUUUUUUCCUUU
rnacentral:misc_RNA from 1 species